rnacentral:rRNA from 1 species
UACGUAGGGUGCGAGCGUUGUCUGGAAUUAUUGGGCGUAAAGAGCUUGUAGGCGGUUUGUCGCGUCUGCUGUGAAAAUCCGGGGCUCAACCCCGGACUUGCAGUGGGUACGGGCAGACUAGAGUGUGGUAGGGGAGACUGGAAUUCCUGGUGUAGCGGUGAAAUGCGCAGAUAUCAGGAGGAACACCGAUGGCGAAGGCAGGUCUCUGGGCCACUACUGACGCUGAGAAGCGAAAGCAUGGGGAGCGAACAGGAUUAGA